AUUACCCGCUGAACUUAAGCAUAUCAAUAAGCGGAGGAAAAGAAACCAACAGGGAUUGCCCCAGUAACGGCGAGUGAAGCGGCAACAGCUCAAAUUUGAAAUCUGGUCCCUAGGGCCCGAGUUGUAAUUUGUAGAGGAUGCUUUUGGUGAGGUGCCGCCCGAGUUCCCUGGAACGGGACGCCACAGAGGGUGAGAGCCCCGUCUGGCUGGCCGCCGAGCCUCUGUAAAGCUCCUUCGACGAGUCGAGUAGUUUGGGAAUGCUGCUCAAAAUGGGAGGUAUAUGUCUUCUAAAGCUAAAUAUUGGCCAGAGACCGAUAGCGCACAAGUAGAGUGAUCGAAAGAUGAAAAGCACCUUGAAAAGAGGGUUAAAUAGUACGUGAAAUUGUUGAAAGGGAAGCGCUUGUGACCAGACUUGGGCGCGGCGGAUCAUCCGGGGUUCUCUCCGGUGCACUUCGCCGCGUCUAGGCCAGCAUCAGUUCGUCGCGGGGGAAAAAGGCUUCGGGAACGUGGCUCCUCCGGGAGUGUUAUAGCCCGUUGCAUAAUACCCUGCGGUGGACUGAGGACCGCGCAUCUGCAAGGAUGCUGGCGUAAUGGUCACCAGCGACCCGUCUUGAAACACGGACCAAGGAGUCGUCUUCGUAUGCGAGUGUUCGGGUGUCAAACCCCUACGCGUAAUGAAAGUGAACGCAGGUGAGAGCUUCGGCGCAUCAUCGACCGAUCCUGAUGUUCUCGGAUGGAUUUGAGUAAGAGCAUACGGGGCCGGACCCGAAAGAAGGUGAACUAUGCCUGUAUAGGGUGAAGCCAGAGGAAACUCUGGUGGAGGCUCGCAGCGGUUCUGACGUGCAAAUCGAUCGUGAAAUAUGGGCAUGGGGGCGAAAGACUAAUCGAACCA
rnacentral:rRNA from 1 species